UUUCAGCUGCCAGCUGGCGGCACUUGGCGAAACCACAGGAGUUGGUCUUUCUUCUCUGAUGAGAGCGGGCCGCCAGCAGCCGCCGAGGCCCCGCGGGGCCCUCGCAGGGACUAACACCCUCUGUGUCCCGUUUCUUCUCUUCCCAAGCCACCCGGGAAUCCAGGGGGCUGAGGAUCCACCUGUGGUAGCUCUUCUAACAUUCCGAGUUGUGGAACCAUCAGCGAACUCUCAUUCCAGGAUGAGUUGAUUCCCGCUGGACUCCUUGCUCUACUCGGCACUGCCCCCUGCUGCCUGCGUCCUGUCCCCGUCUCCGAGGCCAGCCUCCCCGGGUCAGCCUCAGCGUCUCCAUAGCCGGAGAGCAACCAGGAGGCAGGUAUGGAUGUGGGGUAGGAAUACAUUGCAUCGAGUGGGUGAAUCUGCAAACACAGAAUCUUCGCGUAACGAGGAUGCCUGUUUUCACCCCCCCGCCCCCCACCCAGAAAGCCCGCACCCCCCAGGGGUUACGCAGCCCUCACGCCAAUGCUCUGCGGCCCCGGGGAGCGGGGCAGUCCUCCAGGGCUGGCUCAGUGCCAGCCAUGCAAUGCCAUGGGACCGAGUGUGCUUACUUAGUCGUCCAAAAAACGUUAGAAUGGGGGGCCAAGUAUACACAAUUUAAUUUGGAAACUUAAUUUAACAAAAUUUUAACUUUUCCUGA